GACGAACGCUGGCGGCGUGCUUAACACAUGCAAGUCGAACGAUGAAGCCGGAGCUUGCUCUGGUGAAUUAGUGGCGAACGGGUGAGUAACACGUGAGUAACCUGCCCUUGACUCUGGGAUAACUGCGGGAAACUGUAGCUAAUACCGGAUACGACCCUCGGAGGCAUCUCCUGGGGGUGGAAAGAACUUCGGUCAAGGAUGGACUCGCGGCCUGUCAGCUAGUUGGUGAGGUAACGGCUCACCAAGGCGACGACGGGUAGCCGGCCUGAGAGGGUGACCGGCCACACUGGGACUGAGACACGGCCCAGACUCCUACGGGAGGCAGCAGUGGGGAAUAUUGCACAAUGGGCGCAAGCCUGAUGCAGCAACGCCGCGUGAGGGAUGACGGCCUUCGGGUUGUAAACCUCUUUUAGUAGGGAAGAAGCGAAAGUGACGGUACCUGCAGAAAAAGCACCGGCUAACUACGUGCCAGCCGCCGCCGUAA
rnacentral:rRNA from 1 species